rnacentral:snRNA from 1 species
GUACUUGCUUCGGUAGUGCAUAUACUAAAAUUGGAACGAUACAGAGAAGAUUAGCAUACUGUAGUAUAAUAGGGGAAAAUGUGAUUUUCUGCGAUUCUGA